UUUUAUGAGAGUUUGAUCCUGGCUCAGGACGAACGCUGGCGGCGUGCCUAAUACAUGCAAGUCGAACGCUUCUUUUUCCACCGGAGCUUGCUCCACCGGAAAAAGAGGAGUGGCGAACGGGUGAGUAACACGUGGGUAACCUGCCCAUCAGAAGGGGAUAACACUU
rnacentral:rRNA from 1 species